rnacentral:lncRNA from 1 species
UUUUUUUUUUUUCUUUUUUUUUUUUUUGCUUUUUAGGGCCACACUCGAAUCAUAUGGAGGUUCCCAGGCUAGGGGUUGAAUCAGGGCUACAGCUGCCGGCCUACACCACAGCUCACAGCAAUGUGGGACCUACAUCUGCAACCUACACCACAGCUCAUGGCAACGCCAGUUCCUUAACCCACUGAGCGGGGCCAGGGAUCGAACCCACAACCUCAUGGUUCCUAGUCAGAUUCGUUUCUGCUGUGUCACAAUGGGAACUCCAUCCAGCUGUACUUCAUAUGAAGACAGGCGACUCAGUCCCAACAACAGUCCUCAACCACCUUCAAUUCCAGGAUCCCAUUCUUAAGUGGUCUGACACUAAUUUUAAAAACAGAUUUAUUUAAGCUAACUGAAGAUCAAGGAUAUGCAUUUUCAACCAGGGCAAUAUCACCCCCAGUAAAAUGGAAAUGGGUUCUUGAGGGGCAAAAUAAAACCUUACUCUUAUUACAUAGAAAGCAGAAAUACACACCAUACAUAAACAUAUUACACAGUGUGUCUGUGGUAUUCACCUCUCAUAGGGAGGAAAUUAGGGAAAAAAAAGUCUAAACAUUCUUUUUGGAAGAAAAAAGUUUUAAAGGUAGUGAAGAGGUUGAGAAACACGGAUUUUAAAAAGUGAUCUCUUGGAUAAACAAGAUCCCACUGUAUAGCACAGAGAAAACUAUAUUCAAUGUCCUAUGGUCAAUCAUAAUGAAAAAGUUUUGUUUUUUAAAAAGAGUAUAAUACGUGUAACUGAAUCACUUGGCUGUACAGCAGAAACUAACACAACAUUGUAAAUCAACUAUACUUCGAUUAAAAAAAUAGGAUAGGAUAAAUGGAGUUCCUGCUAUGGUGCAGCAUGUUAAGGAUCUGGUUUUUGCCACAGCUGCACGUAGGUCAGAGCUGUGGCUCAAAUUCCACUGUGGCCCUGGGGACUCCCAUUUCUGUUGGUGUGGUGAAAAAAAAAAAAAAGUAGAAUCAAUACCAUGGUAAAGGGACAAAGAAAAAUUCAUGAAAGACAAAAAUUGGGUGUUCCCAUUGUGGUUCAGUGGAUUAAGAACCUGACUGACUAGUAUUCAUGAGGCUGCAGGUUCGAUCUCUGACCUUCCUCAGGAUUAAGGAUCCAGUGUUGCCAUGAGCUGCGGUGUAGGCUGCAGAUGCACAACACCCGAUCCUCAACCCAAAGGGCAAGGCCAGAGAUUGAACCCGCAUCCUCACCGACACUGUGUCGGGUUCUUAACCCACUGAGCCACAACAGGAACGCUUCUUUUCCUUUUAAACAUUCUCUCCAGUUUUAAGAUUCUUAAAUUUAUUUUUUCUUUUAUCAUUUUUUUUUUGUCUUUUUGCUAUUUCUUGGGCCACUCCCGCGGCAUAUGGAGGUUCCUAGGCUAGGGGUCGAAUCGGAGCUGUACCCACCGGCCGACGCCAGAGCCACAGCAACGUGGGAUCUGAGCCAUGUACCCACUGAGCAAGGGCAGGGAUCGAACCCGCAACCUCAUGGUUCCCAGUCGGAUUCGUUAACCACUGCGCCACGAUGGGAACUCCUCUUAAAUUUAUUUUUUUCACUGAAGUAUAGUUAUUUACAAUGCUUUGUUGGUUUCAGGAGUACAGCAAAGUGAUUAGAUUACAUUUUUCUCUUUUUUUUCGAUUAUUUUCCACUUUGGUUACUACAAGAUACUGAAUAUCAUUCCCUGUGCUAUACAGUAAAUCCCUGUUGUUUAUCAAUUUUAUGUCAGAUUUUUAAGUGUCAUUAAUUUGGGGUUUUUCGGCAAAUCCAUCUACUCCCUGUUUGGAUUCUGAGAGAAAAUCAUAAAUAGAACUUUAGUAUAUCCUGCCAUAGAGUACUCCUCACCCCCCAAGUAAGGUAUUGAACGGGGUGAAGUCAGAUAGAAGGAUGAGGGCUGUAACACCACAUAGACAGUCCUAAAAUCAUCCUUCUUUUCCAAAAUGAACCGUAAAAAACACAGACAGUUCUUAUGAGAAAAAAAAAAUGGAGUGAGGGACAUGAUACUCAAAAUCUUCAUCGGUGCCAUAUAUAAGAAAAAAGAGAAACCUAAUGAAAAUCGUAAUGCCAUUUUACACAGGGUAUGCGAUUAAGUUAUUUCUCUAAAUAUAAAUAUUUCACUUUACCUUGAAUAAAGACCCGGAGGGUGCUUGUGGGGUGGGUGGUAGAGGGGCUGGAGCUUAUGAGUUACUGUGAAGAUGGGGAAGGGGGGCUACCUGAAGUCAGAGGGAAGGUUCCAACCCCAAGUGGGGGGAACGUGGGAGCAAAGAGAUGCAGAAGCUAUGAGCGCAGGCGUGUUCCAAUUCUGCCCAAUUCAGUUGCGUCUAGUUUUCUCCUUUCACCGAAUACUUCAUCGAGAGAAAAUGCAACAUAAGCAAAUGUGAAAUUCCCAUUACGCUUCCACAGUGUCCUACUCCAUGAAUCUCAGUGGACCACAUUCAUGCUUUCAAAACAGGGCUGGAGUGGAAUGGACUGGAUUCCCCAGACUGCUUCGUUUCUUCAUCCUGGAUGUUCUAUAAAAAGAACGGCUCCUUUUUCUGAAGGAUGUUUUUGUUCAGAAUCAGAUCCAUCAGCUACAGUCAGGCCUCCAGACACAUCUAACCCAUUUUCCCAUAAGACAAUGCCUCAAACUAAUAGCAUUUCACACCAUUCCCAAGUUUCCAGAGUUCAAGAAUUCACACAUGUAACACACUGUGCUGAACAUGGGAGGCAGCUAUGGAGAGGGUUCCAGACUUACACAGAGUGGUUUAUAUGCAAACUCCUGUAUGACUCGCAACAUCCCUUUACCUUGCUGAGCCCCGUUCCUAAAUCUCUGAACACAGGAUGGCUCCGAGGAUAAGGUGAGAUAACCUAUCACAAGAUGACCUGGGCCAGUGCUUGGAAAACAUCAGCUGAAGGUCAGUCUGGCCACAGACUGACUCAUGACCCUGAAGGAAGUCUAACCUUUAUCCUUCUAUGAGUUAAGCAGUGCCCUAUCAGAAACAUGCUUUACUUUACUGCCUUGGCAGAAAAUGGUCAUUAAGGUGACUAUAAAGAUGCAGAGAAAAUAGAAAAUAAACAUGUGAAACACAAAGGCAGUUUACAGACCCAAGAAGGACGUGGGGGAAGGCAGCCACCUCUACCAACUGAGAGACAAUUUCAUUUCCUCCCUCAGGUUUUUAUUAGCUUUCGUCUCCUUGGUUUCUUGUCUUGCAGUCUGGAAUGUGCCACUUCCUCGACUGAAAAAGAAGAAGAUUCAGUCUCCUGAGUCUACAAAAAUUACUCUUGCUCAACCCAUUCUUCCUGUCAUUGCAUUUGAAGGAACUUCAGGGUCAUGUGGUUUCACUCCUCCACUAGAUCUGCCAGAAACGAAGAGCCCUUGUUCCCUAAGUCCAGCCAGCCAGACAAGGUCAUGGUGCCAAACCCCAAGAUUUUUGCAUGCUUGUUGUGGGGACUCCAUGUUCAAAUACACUUCGGCAGACAAUGUGCACUUGAACCUGAAGACGGACACAGUCCCCCAAGAAUGGGGCCAGGAACUUGGUGAAUUUUCUUUCCUGCUGCUCUCUGCUCAACCUGGUCCUGAAACUUAGACUCCAUGGAGAUUUCCCUACCAAGAAAAAGAUACUCUGAAGGCCAAAAUCGGCCUGCGGAUUUUAUUUCUCACUACAAAUUAACGAACCUCCGAUUUAAAGUUCUAUAUUCAAAAAAGAAUUGCCGAAUUCUAAUUGCGAAGGUGGCAAAAGAAGGUUACGCUAGAAAUAUAAACUACUACCAUCAAGCCUCAUCAUUUGUUGGGCUGAGUUCAGAAUUCCUAUAUGAUGGUCAGGCUCUUAGUGGUUGCAGAAAAUUAGGUGAUUGUGUAACAGGAGUCCAAGUGUGUGGUUUCCAGACUCAGUCCACUGUCAGUGAAGUACAGUCUCCUUUAAUGCACAUCCUUUACAGCAAAAAUACAAAUAGGAUCCUCUUUACUAAGGUCUUCAUUCCUAUCUGCCAAUGGGUGCCUUCAAAAACAAGUGGGAAAUACACCAGGCCUAGAUACAGGAAUGUUUCCUCUCACUUAAUUUGUUAUUAAAGGUGAUUCCAUUAAAGUAGAUUGGAUUUAUUUCAGCAUUUAUGUUGAUUAUCUCACUCAAUCAUCUCAGCCACUCUGAGCUAGAGACAGCAUGCUUCCGCCACUGUGCUAAUGAAAAUGGCCUGCCCGUAAAGUGAUUGCCCAACACUGUCUCAUCUACUCCUCGGGGAGGGUAUUACCCCAUUUUCAACAAGCUUACUUAAGCACACAGAGGCUAACUGGCUUUCCCAAGAUCAUGAGAUAGACAGAGGAAGUCACAGUGCUAACACUCAGGCCUCUGACCCUUGUCCAGAAUGCCUUCUCCUCGGCCUCAACAGCUCCCACUAAACGAGCUGCCCAAAGGCCAGCAGAAAAUCACUAAGAAAACCAGAAUAAAGUCAGGCUUCUGUCUCCCACCAUAGUCAGGGCUCAUGAUGCAUACUCACAACCAAAUGCCAAUCCAAUCACAGAGAAGCCUGUCUUUUUAAAAUCCCAACAGACUUGACAAUCCCAAGGACAGGGAACAGUGCCCUCUGAGCACAUGAGCUGCAGUGACACAGGAUGAACUGCAGGGGGCCCAUGUGAGCCAAUCCCAUUGAGAAGGUAUUAAGGAUGGGGCUCCAUCAAGAUGGGAGGAGGAGCAUGGAUGGACCUAGAGAAUGUCACACUGAGAAGUAAGCCAGACAGAGAAGGACAAACACCAUAUGAUAUCACUUAUAUGUGGAAUCUAAAAUAUGGCACAAAUGAAUAAAUAAAAUAUGAUACAAAUGAACUUAUUUACAAAAGCAGAAACAGAAUCACAGACAUAGACAACAGACUUAUGGUCACCAAAGGGGAUGGGUGGUGGAGAGACAAAUUAGGAAUCUAGGAUUAACACAUACACACUACUAUAUAUAAAAAUAGAUAAACAACAUGGACCUACUACAGAGCACAGUGAAAUAUACUCAAUAUCUUGUAAUAACUUAUAAUGGCAAAGAAUCUGAACUAGAUGUAUAUGUACAACCGAGUUACUCUGUUGUACACCUGAAAUAACACAAUGUAAAUUAACUACACUUCGAUUAAAAGAAAUAAACAUGAAAGUAUGAUCAAGUGAGGGCACUCCAUUGGCUGUUAACCGGUGUGUCCGACCAGACGGGAAUGUCAAGGUCAAAGCUUUCUAUGUCAUCAUGUAAUACGUAAUUAUACAUGCAUGUAUAGUACGUAUGUUCUUUCUUUAUUAAUGCUGCUUAGGGUAUCAUGUACAACUUCAAAGACGUGACAAGUGUUAACAACAUUUGGAGAUACCUGCAACAACUAUAGAGAUAUGGAUACAGGUAGACCUCAGAGAUACUGCAGGUUCCACUCCAGACCACAGCAACAAAGCAAACGCUGCAAUAAAGCAACACACACAUUUUUUUCGGUUUCCUAGUACAUAUCAAAGUUACAUUUACACCAUACCAAUCUAUUAAGUAUCCAAUAGCAUUAUGCCACCAGAAACGCAUAGACCUUAAUUAUAAAAAAUGCUGUUGGAAAAAUGGCGCCAAUAGACCUGCUUGAUACUGGGUGGCCACAAACCUUCCAUUUGUAAAAACCGCAAUACCUGUGCAGCGCAAUUAAGCAGAGACAAAACAGGAUGUGCCCAUGUAUCUGUGAUUUCUAUUCACGCAGCAAAGUCAUGGGUCUACUGAAGCGUGGCCCACAUUCAUGUGAAAGCAAAUGCUAAGUUUCUAUUGGAGGUGAGUAAAAACAGGGGUGUAUUUUUUUCCUAUCCCAUUUCCUCCUGAGUUCUCUUCCCACAGGCCCCUUGAAGGUGUGUGGACCCCUUUAGAAGCCCCGGCUCUAGACCAGGGGUCAGCAAGGCCAAAUCGGACCUGCAGCUGGAUCAUACAUACAGCUUUAUUGGCACAUGGCCACACCCAUUCAACUGCGGACCAGCUAGUGCUGUUUUGGCCUACAAAGCACAGCUGGGUAGCUGCGACAGAUAGUGACCGCCUGGCUCUGUACAGAAAAGAGUUGCUGAAUCCUGAAUUAGAAUCAGUGAGCUGGGGCUUCUCUAAACCCCUGGGACAUCAGGGCUUGGCCAGGCAAGCAUCAGAGGCUACAUCCAUCCUCAAGGCCUCGGACUCUCAGAUGUGCCUCUAUUCCACAGUUUGUUCUAGUUCUUUGCCUUCUCUCUUAGACUAAGGCGCUGACAUGGAAUACUUCCCAAUACUACAAUAAAAACUGCCUUUGGGACUGGGCUCCCUGGUAAAAUGCAGAACUCUCUUACAGUAUGAAGAAAUGCAAUGAACACGUUGCACAUGCAUAACCUAUCUAUGCACAACAUGGAAAUGAGCAGCUCCAAGAAAGAAUUUUCUGAUCCAGCUAGCCAUUCUGCCGCUUUCACGCUAACCCGCGUAAGGCUGAAUUUCAGCCCGGCCAUAUAUGCAUCUUGCAGUAACAGGAGCAUCCCUCGAAAUGGAGCAGAGUUCUCCCAGGCUGCCUGCCCUCCCAAUCUGCCCGGCUUCAGACCACGUGUACUUGUUAUUCUGCUGUUACAAGCUUCCAAACCUCUAUGGGAUCUCAGAUGUGAGAAGAUGUGGCCUGAAACAAUGGGAUAGGACAAAACAAAACAAACCUCCGGAAUUCAUUCUCAAGCUGAGUAUUAAACAACGGUUCAGAAUUUUAAAAUCAACGGCUGUGUUGAUUCAAGAGUCCCUGGUCUCCUAUCAGUUUCACUUAUGCCUCCAUCUACCAGCUUCCUAGACAAACUUCAUUCUGCUUCUAACCAAAUAAAGAAGAGCUAGAAACCUUUGCAACUUUAGAGCGAUCAAAUGUGAUUGUAAAGCAAGGGCUUCCUCUUUUGAUAAUCGGAGCAGCUGCUGUGGCAAAAUUGUUUUUCUUCACCCUCUUUCACUGGGGUUUCUCUCCAGCAGCUGCUUUUGUUUUUUGUUCAUGUGCCUCCUCCCACAUCCCCUCCCCUAACCAGUUACGAAGUUGGGGGCCGGGGUGGGGGGGGAUGCUGAGAUACAAAGCAGUGCUUGUUAAAAUUUUGAGUAAAUCUGGGCUAAUAGCCAAAUUUAAUUCUAAAGACCCAUUUUGGAG